rnacentral:lncRNA from 1 species
UAUUUUCUUAUUUUCAGUUGCUGUGUUUAUCUGUUGGUCUAAGUUAUUAUAAGAGAAUGCUUGAGGCCCUUUUUUUUGUUUUGUUUUUUAAUAGUUGUCUUGAUAGGAACUAUACAGGAAUACCAAUAGAAUCAACUAGCCUAGACCCUUCGGGUCUCUCAGUGUCUGAACUACUAGCAAAAGAGCAUACACAGGCUGGACCUAGGCCUCCCUGCACACAGAAGAUGUGCAGCUGGGUCUUCAUGUGGGCCCCAAACUAGAGCAGGGCUGUCCCUACAGCUGUUGCCUGUCUGUGGACAUUUUUCCCCUAACUCAGCUAUCUUGUUUGGCCUCAGUGGGAGAAGAGGAGCAUGGUGGCUAGAGGCCUUCUGUGUAGCGUAAGUGUUUCUGCUUGGAUGGAAGGUAACCUGGGACUCAGAAGCUCAGGAACCACACAGCUCUGAGGUGGGACAGUGUCCCAAGGGAAGGGUCUCCUGAAACCUAGGGGACCCAGGAAACAUAGAGCUCUAAGAGGAAGCCUCCUCAGCAGAAACUGCAGCUCCCAGGGGAGAGCCUCCUCUGCAGAGCUGAGGAGCUCAGGGGCUCAGGAGCCCCUCUCCUACUCUUCACCGCUUCUCUUCACUGUUGGUUUUCUUCUCCCAGAAUAGCCACAGCAGGCAGGGAAUCUCAGGAAAGAGAGUUAGUGGAGGGUCCAGGGAUGGCUGCCCUCUGCUUUCAGGUCAUGAACAUCAAGGAACUUGGCAAAGGGGCGGUGCUUACCAUAUAGGAUUUAUGAGGGGGCGGAGCUUCUCAGGGCAGAGAUUUCCAGAGUGAGGAUUUUCAAGUCCUGAGCUUGGAGAGGUUGGUGAGGGGAGGCUCAGGGAUUUGUAGGUUUUCCUGCUCAGGGAUUGGUGGCUUUUUCUCACACACAAACACACACACACACACCUUUUCCCUGCAUCUGGCCCAUGGGUUAGGGUGUGAAGUCCUUUCAGGCAGCAGCUGGCUUUUGCUGAGACACCAUCUCUGUGGGGUUGCUGGGGAGACUGGAAGGGAGCUGCUGCCACUGUAGGGCUCCUGUGGGGCGGUGGUUUCACAAAAGCUAUGGGCUGAGGCAGGGAAGAAGGGGUUGCUGCGGUGGAUCACCUCGUGCUGCCAAGGCAGAGGCAGGAAAGGUGUCUGUCUCUGUGGACUGCUCUGAGGCGAGAAAGGAGACGUACCACCACAGACAGCCUUGGAGGCUGCAAAGCUGCAGAGAUCUGCCCUUUCACCGGAGCCGCUGUUUUGGGCAGCUCCUGUGUGGGGCAGUGGGCCAUGCCACCAGACAGAACUGGUAAGGUUGUAGCAAGCUGCUAACCCAAAUAAAUGUCAUAAUUGAGAACAGCAGGAGUGCAGACCAGCUCCCAGCCAGGUUCCUGUCCUGGAGCACAUGACCACAGCACCCCACCAAGAGGACUGUGACAGUCACGUAGCAUGAAAACCUAGAAUUCUCCAUGCCAGUGAGGUAUCUAGAUAGGCCCGGAGGGUUUAGCCAGUGAGCUUCCCUUUCUGCAAAGGUAUUUAAUCUCUGGUUUAUCCUCAUCUGCCAUGAAGGAAACAGUUUGGACAAGCAAGGACCGUCUCCUCCAUCAAGAACCACCUCAGGAGGUGGUGCCCUUCUAUACUUCUGGCACUCAGAGCUAAGCUGGAUUCCACACAUGUCCUGGGCUCAUCCCAAGCCCAGGCUUCCAUUCCCAGCUCCUCAUGGUCCCUGGCAGAGGAUGGGAACCACCUUUCUCAACUCCUGACGGUUCCCAGCGACAUCUGGGUGCACAGGAAUCUGAGAACCACAGACUCCAUCCCAACCCCUGCUGUUUUCACCCAGAGAAACACGGGCAGGGACCCUAUCUUAGACUGGGUUUUGCCUUCACUGAGUGGUGUGUCGGAGGCCUGGCACCCACUCCAGCAGCAAGGAAGAAACACAGCCUAAGCCCCUUCGUUUCUCCUCCCCUGAGCGGCCCACAGGCGGCAUUCUGACACCCCAGCAGCUCUAAAGACUCCUGUGGGGCAUUGUACUGCAGCAGCCAUAAGCUGGGUGGCAAGGAGGGGCCUGUGGCUGCUUUGACAGCUUUUAUGGUGCAGAGGCUAUUGUGGUGCACCGCUCAGGGACUACAUGUAAGGAAUGGGGUCACAGCUGUCUCAUUUUACUGUUUUGUGUUGCAGCUCUCAAAACCAUCUGUACCAGGAUACUCCUACCUCUUCCCACCUACUUAGAACUGUCCCACGACAUGUUUUUAAAGGUCUCUGGGAAGCAUAGAGCUGGAGACAUAUCCUCCAUUGUGCCAUCAGCCCUCAGCAGCCAGCCACAUCUGCCUUCCAGAGUCCUCCAUGGGUCCCGCUGAUGGUCCAGAUGAGUGUUAUUACUGUUAUUGUUGAGGAAGGAAGGGCUAUAACCUCUACCUGCCUGAUGAGAGGAGGGCCAGAAUCUCAGGCGACAAGCUGCAAGCCUUUGUAUGCCUAGUGAUGCAGAGGCCAGAAGAGAGCAUUGGAUCCCUUAGAACUAGCUACAGAUGGCUGAAAUCCUCCAUAUGAGUGCUGGGAGCUGAACCCAGGUCCUCGGCAAAAGCAGCCAGUGACUUAAACUGCUGAAUCAUGUCUCCUGCUUUGCUGUCCCCCCUCCCCCAUUUUUGAAACAGUUUUUCUUGUCUUGAAGUUACAGGUCUUCUGCCCCCCAACUCCCAAGUGCAGGGAUUAUAGGUAUUAUACACCUAAGACUGGUUUUCUAUCAAUAUUCUGGCUGCUGUGAAGGUGGGGACCCCUCGGUGCCCCUGUGACUAUUUGUCACUUCCAGAAUCCUCCUGCUUUGUGCAUACUUUCUGGUGCUUUCUUGAAGUGGUUCCUCUUAGUAUUUUGCCUUUUGUGUUUUGUCCAGAGUGAAGGCUAAUACUUCUGAUAUGUUCCAGGAGUUUCCUAAUGGCUUUGCCAGCUGUUCCAUUGCUCUCUUGCCCAGUGUUCACCCUCAUUUCUGUCAGAUCCUAGAAAUGAGCCUUCCUAGCUAGGUGAAACAUUAUAACCUUUAAUAAUAAUAUAUAUCCUCAACAUGGACAAAAUUUGAUGCUUGGCCAAUGGGGGAACCGGAAUCAGAAUUCCUGGAAAAGAGUUGUGUCUGCAAAGGCUGACUGACUGAUUAGAACUCCAGUGUUAUACAGAGGUUGUGGUGUACAAGUCCAGAGCCUAAUUAUAAUUUAUCUCAAGCUUUCUUGAAGCCUCUGAGUAGCCAUUCCUUACCUCCUUUAAUCAGACCUAACAUCCUAUGACUAACAUAAAAUGCAUUCUGGGAAUGCAUUAGCUUAACAAACCCUAAUCAUCCACCAAUAAAAGGGCUAAGAGUGUUGACAUCCAAGGUCUAUUUCAGAGUCCUUUCUAUCUUGCUAUGACCUGCCUACCUUAUGUGUCCACCAAUGUAUUUUUAAAAAAUAUCUUGAUUUAUGGCUUUUUUGUUCUCUUACUGAAAAUUUUGUAAGUUGAUGCUUCAUCAGAAUAUGGUAUUUGGGGAGACCCAAAUCUGUAUUCCUAGGACGUGAUCAUUCACCUUUGGCUAUAGAAUAAACCAUGGCUUUUAUUCCUUUGAGAUGAGAACUGUUGCUUUUAUUGAUACCAGAGUCUUCAUCUGUGAAAGUGUCACUUUGACUGGAUUCUAGCCCACUAUGGUUUUAAAAGGUAUUCAGUAUUUUGUGUGGGUUUCAUAAAACUUUAUAGAAGAUUGAAAUUUUCUUUGGUCAGACACUGAUUUGCAUUGUGCAAAAUUUGUGAUAGAAUUCAAAAUAGAUUUAGACAUGUAUCUAUCAAAUUUAUGACAUGUUAAAACAUGUAUGUGGAUUGUAUGGAACUGAAGUGUCUGAGUAAAGUUUUCUUUUCAAGGCUCUGUGACUUAGCAUGUUGACAAGGCUGGUCGUGAACUUCUGCACAUAAGCGGUUCUUCCACACUUGCCUUCCAGGAAGCUAUGAUUAUGGGAUAUGCUUGGAUGAUUAACCUUUGAGUUACAAUUAUGAAGGAAAAAAUCAAAUAUAAUAGUCUUCAUUACACCGUGCUUUGUGAUUUCCAAGAGAAAUAUCACUUUCCAAGGGAACCCCUAUAAAUACUGAGGCCAGAAAAUGUCUUAAAGCCAUUUGAAAGACAUUUUACCAUCUUCAAAGGACACCUCAAACACUGCAUCAUAGAGUAAUAACCAUCGCUUUUGCCAAGGAUGCCACAGUGAGACCUCUUGGACAUGUUGUCAGUGUGUCUUUUCUUACUCUGGGUGGUGGUUAUGAGUGUGUUUGCUUUAUAAACACCCCCUGAGUAAAUAUACCCAUCUGAUAAUGCUGGACUCCUGCCCCGCUGAGCUCUGCCUGGGAAAUUCACACCCGCUUUCCUAAAGUACUUGCUGCAGCCUGCCGUGGCUGCUCCUGGGAGUUGUUUGUGAAGUCUUUGCAUCGUUCAGGGACUGGACAUUUGACUGUCCCAUACAUGGGAGAGUGUCCCUCAGUGUUUUUGCUCUGACCUUCCUGUUUCAAGGCAGGAUAUGCUGGACUCAGAAGCACCAUGGGUAAGAUCAGAGCCCUAUCUUGUCCAUGUGUGUCUCUGAGAGGCUCACCCUUCUCACUGCCAACUGAUGGGAAAAACCUAUCAUAGGCCAUGUUCCCCACCCAGGUUCCUGGGAGUUAAAUGCCUGUGUUUGUCUU